rnacentral:rRNA from 1 species
AUUGAACGCUGGCGGCAAGCCUAACACAUGCAAGUCGAACGAGUGGCGGACGGGUGAGUAAUGUCUGGGAAACUGCCUGAUGGAGGGGAUAACUACUGGAAACGGUAGCUAAUACCGCAUACCAUCGGAUGUGCCCAGAUGGGAUUAGCUAGUAGGUGGGGUAAAGGCUCACCUAGGCGACGAUCCCUAGCUGGUCUGAGAGGAUGACCAGCCACACAGGACAUGAGCCACUGUCCAGACUCCUACGUGCGGCCGCAUGGGGGAAUAUUGCACAAUGGGCGCAAGCCUGAUGCAGCCAUGCCUCGUGUAUGAAGAAGGCCUUCGGGUUGUAAAGUACUUUCAGCGGGGAGGCGUUACCCGCAGAAGAAGCACCGGCUAACUCCGUGCCAGCAGCCGCGGUAAUUC